ensembl:lncRNA
AAUUUAACCCGGGCCGCGGCGGUGAAAGCGCCAAAUCCUAGCCACUAGACCAUCAGGGACAUGAUUAUGCUAAUGAAGUCUUAGUUUAAGUCGAAAACUUUAAAAACAUCUGCAGUUUGGCUUGAAUUAAAAGUUGGAUCUGGAAUUCCAAACUCUAAAUCUCAUUUCCCUGACCGGGAAUUGAACCCGGGCCGCAGCGGUGAGAGCGCCGAAUCCUAGCCACUAGACCAUCAGGGACACAAUUAUGCAAAUGAAGUCAUAGUUUACGUCGAAUACUUUAAAAACAUCUGCAGUUUGGCUUGAAUUAAAAGUUGGAUCUGGAAUUCCAAACUCUAAAUCUCAUUUCCCUGACCGGGAAUUGAACCCGGGCCGCGGCGGUGAAAGCGCCAAAUGCUAGCCACUAGAACAUCAGGGACACAAUUAUGC